UCUGAACUGUUCAUGUUUUCUGUCUUGGCAAGGUUGAGUUGAUGGUCAUUCAACAUCCAGCAAGACAUUUC